GACGAACGCUGGCGGCGUGCUUAACACAUGCAAGUCGAGCGAUGAAACUACUUCGGUAGUGAAUUAGCGGCGAACGGGUGAGGAACACGUGAGGAAUCUGCCUUCAACACUGGGAUAACUCCGGGAAACCGGGGCUAAUACCGGAUAUGAAACUUGGUGGCAUCACCGAGUUUGGAAAGUUUUUCGGUAGAAGAUGACCUCGCGGCCUAUCAGCUUGUUGGUGAGGUAAUGGCUCACCAAGGCGACGAUCAGUAGCUGGUCUGAGAGGACGAUCAGCCACACUGGGACUGAGACACGGCCCAGACUCCUACGGGAGGCAGCAGUGGGGAAUUUUGGACAAUGGGGGAAACCCUGAUCCAGCAAUGCCGCGUGAGUGAUGAAGGCCUUAGGGUCGUAAAGCUCUUUUACCAGGGAUGAUAAUGACAGUACCUGGAGAAUAAGCUCCGGCUAACUCCGUG
rnacentral:rRNA from 1 species